GCAGUCGAGCGGUACAGGGGAGCUUGCUCCUGCUGACGAGCGGCGGACGGGUGAGUAACGCGUAGGAAUCUGCCUAGUAGAGGGGGACAACAUGUGGAAACGCAUGCUAAUACCGCAUACGCCCUAAGGGGGAAAGGAGGGGACUCUUCGGAGCCUUCCGCUAUUAGAUGAGCCUGCGUAAGAUUAGCUAGUUGGUAGGGUAAAGGCCUACCAAGGCGACGAUCUUUAACUGGUCUGAGAGGAUGGCCAGUCACACUGGGACUGAGACACGGCCCAGACUCCUACGGGAGGCAGCAGUGGGGAAUAUUGGACAAUGGGCGGAAGCCUGAUCCAGCCAUGCCGCGUGUGUGAAGAAGGCCUUAGGGUUGUAAAGCACUUUCGGGGGUGAGGAAGGGUAACUGGCUAAUAUCCAUGUUACUUUGACGUUAGCCCC
rnacentral:rRNA from 1 species